GGGAUAGAAUUCCAGGAGUAGCGGUGAAAUGCGUAGAUAUCUGGAGGAAUACCAAAGGCGAAGGCAGUCCCCUGGUCCGAUACUGACACUGAGGUACGAAAGCGUGGGGAGCAAACAGGAUUAGAUACCCUGGUAGUCCACGCCCUAAACGAUGUCGAUUAGCCAUUGGAAGGACCCCUUUUCCUUUCAGUGACGUAGCUAACGCGUUAAAUCGACCGCCUGGGAAGUACGACCGCAAGGUUAAAACUCAAAGGAAUUGACGGGGACCUGAACAAGCGGUGAACGAUGUGGAUUAAUUCGAUGCUACGCGAAGAACCUUACCUACCUUUGACAUGGCCCAAAGUUCUACCGAGAGGCGGAAGUACUCGUAAGAGGAUUGGCGCACAGGUGCUGCAUGGUUGUCGUCAGUUCGUGUCGUGAGAUGUUGGGUUCAGUCCCGCAACGAACGCAACCCUUAUCUUUAAUUGCUCCUAUUUUAACAGGCACUUUAAAGAAACUGCCAAUGAUAAGUUGGAGGAAGGUGGGGAUCACGUCAAGUCCGCAUGGCCUUUAUAGGUAGGGCUUCACACGUCAUACAAUGGUUAGAACAAAGAGCUGCAAAUUCGUAAGAAGGAGCCAAUCUCACAAACCUAACCUCAGUUCGAAUUGCGGUCUGCAACUCGAGCGCAUGAAGCCGGAAUCGCUAGUAAUCGUGGAUCAGAAUGCCACGGUGAAUACGUUCUUAGGUCUU
rnacentral:rRNA from 1 species